CCCCAACUGUAGAAUCCAUCCCAGCUGCGGAAGCAUUUCUUUGAUCUUGCACUGCAGCUGUGUCAGUAACGAAGACAAAUAGAUAGCGUCAAUGCCGCAGUUCAAGACCAGAUGCAAAAAAUAUUAACCAUAAAGGUACAAGAGACCUUUUCCCCACUUCUUAUCUUUUUCUAUUUACACUUCAUUUUGCUUGAUAGUGAGAUAUUCUACCUAAAUUACCGCAUAUCUAAAGUCCCUAAAUAAUAAAUGAUAUGAAGGAAAAGUAAGGGAUAUAACACCAGUACUCAAAAGUGAAAUAAACCUUUCACACUAAAAUACCGCUUGAUUAAUAUUUUCAUUAUCGUUCAGUGAAUGUUGGAGUCUAUAUACUUUUUAACCUUUACAGCCAUUGGAAAUGGAACUCCCAUUUCAACAUGUAAUUUGCUUGGCAGGAACUAUAGUUUGCAGCACGAUUGUUUUGAGAAUACAUACCUUGAAGCCCCUCAUUGGUUGUGAUGAGAUCAAGUUCAAGGAGGUCUAGAAGACGUCCAAGAUCAACUCCGCUAGUCCAAUUUUCUGGGGGUUGGCCAACUUUGAGUUUC
rnacentral:lncRNA from 1 species